GUGAUCAGAGUAGAUUUUCCCUCGCCUCCCUCGGUCCGAGGCCCAAAUAUACACAAGCGAGCCUCCUCGCCUCCCCUCCCCCCUAGGUUCCCAGCACCACCAUUUUGCUCUCUUCCUUCCCCUCGCCGCGAUGCCGCGCUCUUCCCCCAUCCUGACCGCGGCCGCCCGGCCUGCCUCCCCCACUACGGCUCGCACCCCACCCCACCUCCAAUUCGGGCUCUCCCAGGCUUAAGAGCCUGCCGGAGAAAAGGCACCUAAAUCUAACGCUACACCGAGAAGCAGAGCCUCCAUCUUGCGCUGCUCCGCGUUCUCCAUUUUGGGCCACCCAUUGGGGGGGGGGUCUCCGUAGAGGCCCCGAGGGAGAGCGGGGCGAGGGAAGGAAGAGAAAGCCUUCAGCGAGGGUAGUCGAAAAGAAGAGUCCUGCGGUAGAAAGCCACUCUAGGAGUAGGAGAGACACAGCCUUCACUGAAUGGCCAGAUCACCAUGGAAGCAAAAUUGAAACUUGAUACCCUGGAAUAUUUAAGGAUAAAGGGGGCAUUACAUCAGCAAUUUAUACUCAAAUGGUUCAGAAAGAAAGGCAGAUUCUUUACCACUGAGCCACCUGAGAAGCCCAGGAAUCAAUUUAGUUAUGCCCAAACAGAGAUCCAACCAGUCCAUCCUAAAGGAGAUCAGUCCUGGGUGUUCAUUCGAGGGACUGAUGUUGAAGCUGAAACUCCAAUACUUUGGCCACCUGAUGCAAAGAGCUGACUCAUUUGAAAAG